UCAUAUAACUGACUCUCCCUGUGGCAUGACUGCGGAGAGGCAGCGAGAAAAAGGCAGACAGUCAGGCUGGAUGGCUGGUUGGAUGGAUGGAAGAGGGAGGCGAGGGAUUUAAGGAAAUAACGUGAACUGGUGCAGAGGAAGAAAGUGAGACUCAGUUUCUAUGGGAGCAGCCAGCCAGAGGAGCCUUGAAGUCGGAGAGAAGAAGGAAGGAGCAAAGCCAGGUGUGCAGCGGGAGCAUGAUGGGCCCAGAGGUCGGGCUGAGAGGUCAAACUGAUGAAAUCCAGAACAAUGUUUGCAGAGGUAACAUCCAGGGGUCGUAUGAGGACAAAUAUUCCCACAAAGAAGAAGAAUUUCCAGAAUCAUUGGGGAACUUUAGAUGUUCCCCUUUAGUCUGACUUGCAACACAUGGAAGCAGGGUAACCUGACAAGAGCCGAGGGCGCUGCGCCUUAAAGAGCUUUACGUACACCGAAGAAAUCCAGAGAGAGAAACCCCUGCCUCUCAUCCUUGCCGUCUCAGCCGGGACGAGGUGUGAAGAGCCGAGGGAGCUGUGCAACAACAUGGUCUGAACCCAACCCGACCUGGACAUGUAGAAAUCUAUUUCCUAAUUGCACGAAAUCAAUUAAAUCAAUGGCUCCACUUUCA